rnacentral:rRNA from 1 species
AACAGGAUUAGAUACCCUGGUAGUCCACGCUGUAAACGAUGUCGACUUGGAGGUUGUUCCCUUGAGGAGUGGCUUCCGGAGCUAACGCGUUAAGUCGACCGCCUGGGGAGUACGGCCGCAAGGUUAAAACUCAAAUGAAUUGACGGGGGCCCGCACAAGCGGUGGAGCAUGUGGUUUAAUUCGAUGCAACGCGAAGAACCUUACCUACUCUUGACAUCCAGAGAACUUAGCAGAGAUGCUUUGGUGCCUUCGGGAACUCUGAGACAGGUGCUGCAUGGCUGUCGUCAGCUCGUGUUGUGAAAUGUUGGGUUAAGUCCCGCAACGAGCGCAACCCUUAUCCUUUGUUGCCAGCGGUCCGGCCGGGAACUCAAAGGAGACUGCCAGUGAUAAACUGGAGGAAGGUGGGGAUGACGUCAAGUCAUCAUGGCCCUUACGAGUAGGGCUACACACGUGCUACAAUGGCAUAUACAAAGAGAAGCGACCUCGCGAGAGCAAGCGGACCUCAUAAAGUAUGUCGUAGUCCGGGUUGGAGUCUGCAACUCGACUCCAUGAAGUCGGAAUCGCUAGUAAUCGUGGAUCAGAAUGCCACGGUGAAUACGUUCCCGGGCCUUGUACACACCGCCCGUCACACCAUGGGAGUGGGUUGCAAAAGAAGUAGGUAGCUUAACCUUCGGGAGGGCGCUUACCACUUUGUGAUUCAUGACUGGGGUGAAGUCGUAACAAGGUAACC